GAGGGUGUAGCUUAGUGGUAGAGUGCGUGCUUAGCAUGCACAGGAUCCUGGGCUCAAUCCCCAGCAUCUCCA
rnacentral:tRNA from 1 species